AUGACUCCCUUUAGCUAUGGCGGCCCAGGUAGCAGAGUCCUCAUCACCACAAGACAUGACACUGUUGCCCGGAGCAUGAAAGUUGUGUAUUGCCACCAUGUUGACAAAUUAGGUCCUAUAGAUGCAUGGUCAUUGCUCAAGAAGCAGGUACUCACAUCAGGAAAAGAUGAACCUGAGCUUGACAUGCUAAAAGAUAUUGGGUUGCAAAUUAUAGCAAAAUGUGAUGGUUUGCCACUAGCUAUAAAAGUUAUGGGGGGGCUCCUAUGCAAGAAGGAGAAAACACGACGUGAUUGGGAAGACAUCUUGAAUGAUGAUAUAUGGUCAGUAUCUCAAAUUCCAGAGGAGCUAAACUAUGCAAUACAUCUUAGCUAUGAUGAUUUGUCCCCUUGCUUACAAGAAUGCUUUCUGCACUUCUCCCUUAAGCCUAAAAAGACAAUACUAAGUGUCAAUGAAGUAGUGUCCAUGUGGAUUGGUGAAGGGUUGGUUAAUGGAGGCUCGGGUAUUCUAGAACUUGAAGGAAAAAGGUACUACAAUGAGCUAAUAUUAAGGAACCUUAUUGAGCCAGAUACAAACUAUCCUGGCCAGUUUAUUGGAAAUAUGCAUGAUGUCAUUCGCUCAUUUGCUCACUUUGUGGCUAGAGAUGAAGCGUUGGUAGCUCAGAGUGGAGCUACUGCUAAAAACAAACUUAGAUCACAUAGUUUUCUUAGGUUGUCCAUAGAAACCAAAGGAGCUGAAUCAGAUGAAUUUGAAUGGAGAGAUUUAACAGGGCAUAAAUUAUUGAGACUACUAAUGUUAUCUGGGAACUUCAAAAUGCAGCCUGGUGAUUCCUUGGUUACUUUCUCAAGCCUACGAACUCUAUUUAUAGAAUCCGCAAAUUUUGCAGCAUUGCUUGAAUCUGUGUGUCAGCUGAAGCACUUGAGGUAUUUGUCACUAAGAAGUUGCACAGAUAUAUCUAGACUGCCAAAGAACAUCCACGAGUUGAAAUUCCUCCAACACAUUAACCUUGAAGGUUGUGGAGGCAUUGUAAAACUUCCUGAUAGCAUUGUUAAGCUACGAGGAUUGAGGUAUCUUUCAACUAAUGACACCCAUGUAAACAGUAUUCCUAGGGGUUUCCGUGCUCUAACAAAUUUGUGGGUACUAUUUGGAUUUCCAACAUAUAUGGAUGGUGAUUGGUGUAGUUUGGAAGAGUUGGGGCCUCUUUCUCAGCUUAAGGAGCUUGGACUAAAGGGUCUAGAGAAUGUAUUAGAGGCCUCGUCCAUUGCAAAGGCUAGAGUAGGUGCAAAACAAUAUCUUACUGCACUUACCUUAGAAUGCAGCAGUAGACUAGGAGAUGAUGGGUUGCUCAAAGCCCGAGUCUAA
rnacentral:rRNA from 1 species